rnacentral:rRNA from 1 species
CCUACGGGUGGCAGCAGUGGGGAAUAUUGCACAAUGGGGGGAACCCUGAUGCAGCGACGCCGCGUGAGUGAAGAAGUAAUUCGGUAUGUAAAGCCCUAUCAGCAGGGGAGAAAAUGACGGUACCUGACCAAGAAGCCCCGGCUAACUACGUGCCAGCAGCCGCGGUAAUACGUAGGGCGCAAGCGUUAUCCGGAUUUACGGGGUGUAAAGGGGGCGUAGACGGCAGUGCAAGUCAGGAGUGAAAGCCCGGGGCCCAACCCCGGGACUGCUGUGGAAACUGCACGGCUGGAGUGCAGGAGAGGCAGGUGGAAUGCCGAGUGUAGCGGUGAAAUGCGUAGAUAUUAGGAGGAACACCAGUGGCGAAGGCGGCAUGCUGGACGACAACUGACGGUGAGGCGCGAAAGCGUGGGGAGCAAACAGGAUUAGAUACCCGUGUAGUC